CAGUAGCCACGGUAAUACGUAGGUGGCAAGCGUUGUCCGGAAUUAUUGGGCGUAAAGGGCUCGCAGGCGGUUUCUUAAGUCUGAUGUGAAAGCCCCCGGCUCAACCGGGGAGGGUCAUUGGAAACUGGGAAACUUGAGUGCAGAAGAGGAGAGUGGAAUUCCACGUGUAGCGGUGAAAUGCGUAGAGAUGUGGAGGAACACCAGUGGCGAAGGCGACUCUCUGGUCUGUAACUGACGCUGAGGAGCGAAAGCGUGGGGAGCAAACAGGAUUAGAUACCCCGGUAGUCCCUGUCUCUUAUAU
rnacentral:rRNA from 1 species